GCGGGAAUAGCUCAAUUGGUAGAGCAUCAGCCUUCCAAGCUGAGGGUCGCGAGUUCGAGCCUCGUUUCCCGCUCCA
rnacentral:tRNA from 3 species